rnacentral:rRNA from 1 species
GACGAACGCUGGCGGCGUGCUUAACACAUGCAAGUCGAACGGGAUUUAGUAGACAGAAGCCUCGGUGGAAGAUUACUAAUGAGAGUGGCGAACGGGUGAGUAACGCGUGAGCAACCUGCCUAUGACAGUGGGAUAGCCUCGGGAAACCGGGAUUAAUACCGCAUAAAAUCGUAGAAACACAUGUUUUAACGGUCAAAGAUUUAUCGGUCAUAGAUGGGCUCGCGUCUGAUUAGCUAGUUGGUGAGAUAACAGCCCACCAAGGCGACGAUCAGUAGCCGGUCUGAGAGGAUGAACGGCCACAUUGGAACUGAGACACGGUCCAAACUCCUACGGGAGGCAGCAGUGGGGAAUAUUGCACAAUGGGGGAAACCCUGAUGCAGCGACGCCGCGUGAACGAAGAAGGUAUUCGUAUCGUAAAGUUCUGUCCUAUGGGAAGAUAA